AGUGAACGCUGGCGGUAGGCCUAACACAUGCAAGUCGAACGGCAGCACAGUAAGAGCUUGCUCUUACGGGUGGCGAGUGGCGGACGGGUGAGGAAUACAGCGGAAUCUACUUUUUCGUGGGGGAUAACGUAGGGAAACUUACGCUAAUACCGCAUACGACCUACGGGUGAAAGCAGGGGAUCUUCGGACCUUGCGCGAUUGAAUGAGCCGAUGUCGGAUUAGCGAGUUGGCGGGGUAAAGGCCCACCAAGGCGACGAUCCGUAGCUGGUCUGAGAGGAUGAUCAGCCACACUGGAACUGAGACACGGUCCAGACUCCUACGGGAGGCAGCAGUGGGGAAUAUUGGACAAUGGGCGCAAGCCUGAUCCAGCCAUACCGCGUGGGUGAAGAAGGCCUUCGGGUUGUAAAGCCCUUUUGUUGGGAAAGAAAAGCAGCAGGUUAAUACCCCGCUGUUCUGACUGUACCCAAAGAAUAAGCACCGGCUAACUUCGUG
rnacentral:rRNA from 1 species